GGUGUGCGAUAGACUUACCUCCACGUGGUGCACCCUGGGCAACGUAUACUCAUACGGCAAAGAGGUCCAU
rnacentral:ribozyme from 1 species